UCUUAUUAUUGCAUCUUCUAACCUUUGCAUUUUAUAUGCAAUUUAUAUGCAAAACAAUCUACAGACAAAUUUCUACAAACUUUAUUCCAUUUAAUUACCCCAUUGUCCGUUGGAAGUUCAUUUUUUUGCACCUGAAAUAAACAAAAUUGCAAUUUUUAGUUCGUACCUUUUUUGAUUUUGAAAACGUAGUAAUUCCUAUAGUUUCUUUCGAAACACCAAUCACUUAUUGGUAAAUAACUUAACCCCCUAUCUAGUUUCCUUGAGCUGCAAAAAAGGUUUUUGAGUUUUGGGUAAAGAAUAGUCCCCCCUUAUAUCAGUUCCCCAAAAAUCGACACUCCCGUUUUAGCCUGUCCCAGCUCAAAAUAGGGACCCAUGCAAAAUUUCAGCUUCCUAGGUUCAAUGGUUUGGUAACGUAUAAAGGACAUCUACAGCCACACACAAUCUCUCUUUUAUAUAUAAACAGAUGAUUCGUUUAGAAAAAAACAACAUUUUUUAUUUUAUUUAUUCUUUUAUAUUUGAGCAGUUUCCCUUUUUUUAUAAAUUACAAGAGAUGGUAAAAAUAUGUUCUAUAGUGAGACCUUGUUAUUUGCAGUUGAUAUAGACAGAGCUAGGCAGCCACAAAUCUUUUUCGUUUCCGUACAUUUUUUUCAGAAUAUGGUUCCGAACCAAGUAAUAAAAGAUAUUCUAGUCAUAAAUAUUCAAAAAACCCUCAAAUAAGAAGGCUUCAGCUAGCCAACAAAGUACUAGCUGGACGAGAAAAAGGUGUUUUUGCACAGUCCUCCAUAUAUCCACGAUUCCCAGCGGUAUUUCCCCACAUGGAAAUUAGAAUAAUAAAAGAAAUCAUACGUACGAGAACUAAAACUAAUUGAGUUAAAUUUGAUUCGAUUUAAUAGAGAAAAAAGAUUUGAAAUAUCUGUGUGUCGGCGCCAAAAUAGAUUGAAGAGUGUGAGAGUUCAUUAACCCGUUAUGGCCAAUGAGUAAAUUUUUCUACGUCACUAUUUAGACUAGAUGCUCAUGAUGAUCUAGAUCAGUGCUUUUUAACUGUGGAGAAUGGCGGAAUUGGCAAGUGAGGAAUGACAUUUCAAACAAAAAAAAACAUUCCUUCAAAAAUUCAAACUAUAUUUUCAGCCAAAUUUCAAAUCACAACCAUUUACAGACGGUUAAAAUAACAAAAUCAACCAAUAUAUGAGGUAUUGUAAGCUAUGUUUGGGUAAAACUGACAACACUGUUGGGCUAGAUAUGUCAGCAGCGACUCCCCGCAAACUCUCUCCUGUCUCGUCUCUCUUAGGUGUAAUAGUGUGUAUGUGUUGUGAUGAUAUUGCAUGUUAAGGGUUAAUAUUUGUGAAUGUGCAGGAAAAGCGAAGCCAUUUCGAGACUGGCUGCAACAAAAUGGCUUUUUCAACGUUGGUGCGAAUCAGCGAGACUGCAGGUGGCGUAGGCGAUGUUCUAAAGAGUGAAACUAUCAUCACCCUCAACACACUGCUCGACGAGUUUCAGCAACGUUUUCUAGACUUCAAAAGCAACAGCCCAAUGAUGGAGUUCACGAGGGGUCCCUUCAGCUUUCGAGUUGAAAACUUCCCAAAGGAAGCAGAAGGCAUCGAACACCAGUUGCAUUUCCCUUCAUGCACCUGUAUGAGUCGGUUGUUGAAUUUUUGUAUGUUUUUUAUGGACCAACUAAAUUGAGAAAUAAAAUAAUUUAAAAAA
rnacentral:lncRNA from 1 species